CUCUUGCUGCAGGAGGGACAAGAGGAGUGAGCCCUAGCUCUAAGCUUAAGUCAGCCCAAAGGCAGCACCUUCGGAGGUGGGAGGCCUGCCUGCUGGCUGUCCCCAGGAGGUGCAGAUCUGGAGCCAGUGCUGGUGACCCACUCCCACUCUGCGUUUCCCAGAAGGCAGCUCAGGCAUGCAAGUCAGGUGCAGAGACGCAAAGGCUCCUUGACAUUCUCUUUGGGGCUGAGCUCAUCAGCCAG